rnacentral:misc_RNA from 1 species
AAGUCGUAACAAGGUUUCCGUAGGAAGGAUCAUUAACACGUAUCCAAACGUUAAACCCCCCCCCGUGAACCUUCAUCGUGCUCUAGUGGGCCACUGAUGAACACAGCAAUUCCUGGUAAAUCAUUGUCUGAACAAGCCUUUGAGUCAGGAACCUACACCCACUAUAGAAGCGCUAGUUCCAUCGGCAUUGUUUCCCUAAGCAGCCAUCGGCAUUGUUUCCCAAGCAGCCAGUGCGUGAAAGUGGCAACUGACUGUGCAAGGAUAACGCUUAACGAUUUUGCAGCCGCAACACGCGGGCAGAGCUUUGCCAGAGUCCCCAUGCCCCUUCCUUCUGCCGAUUUCACAUACAAAGCUCCAUUUUCAAUUAGGGAUGGGGUAAAACCGAACAACUGUUGACAAGGGAUAUCUUGGUUCUC